GAUCCCUGUGGAUGAGCUUCAACUUCAGGGAGGUCAGCCACUUACUAGCUCUCUAAUCCAGGCGAGUCAUUAAACCUCUCUGCCCCUCAGUUCCUUCAUCUGUAAAAAGGGAUAACAAUAUUACCUACUUCACAGGAUUACCAUAUAGAAUAAAUGAGAUAACACCUGCAAAGCAUUUCACAUCCUUCUUGGAACACGAUUGAGAAGAAUGAUUCUUAAUUUAAAAAGUAGGUGCAUCACCCAGCCUCUCAUUGGUUGUACCUGCGG
rnacentral:lncRNA from 1 species